rnacentral:tRNA from 1 species
AUUUAUAUAGUAUAUUCAUUAUAUUUGACUUCCAAUCAAAAGAUCUAUAAUUUAGUAUAAAUA